rnacentral:rRNA from 1 species
UACGGAGGGGGCGAGCGUUAUUCGGAAUUAUUGGGCGUAAAGGGCGCGUAGGCGGCUGUACAAGUCAAAGGCGAAAUCCCUCGGCUCAACUGAGGAACUGCCUUUGAAACUGUACGGCUUGAGGCCGGGAGGGGGUAGCGGAAUUCCCAGUGUAGCGGUGAAAUGCGUAGAUACUGGGAGGAACACCAGUGGCGAAGGCGGCUACCUGGACCGGUUCUGACGCUGAGGCGCGAAAGCGUGGGGAGCAAACAGG